rnacentral:sRNA from 1 species
CAGUGCGAAAAGAGGCAAUUUCAAAGCUGCGUUGUGCUCGCACAAAAGCAGAUUUGAAACUGCCUCUUUUCAUAGGGCGAAGCCCGUGAGCGAGAUGGAGCGAAGCGGAAUCGAGCGGCACUG